GCCGAGGUGGCGGAAUAGGUAGACGCACAGGACUUAAAAUCCUGAGAGGGCCUAAAAACCUUCAUGUGGGUUCGAUUCCCACCCUCGGUACUA
rnacentral:tRNA from 1 species